GUGGGGAAUCUUGCGCAAUGGGCGAAAGCCUGACGCAGCCAUGCCGCGUGAAUGAUGAAGGUCUUAGGAUUGUAAAAUUCUUUCACCGGGGACGAUAAUGACGGUACCCGGAGAAGAAGCUCCGGUUAACUUCGUGCCAGCAGCCGCGGUAAUACGAAGGGGGCUAGUGUUGCUUGGAAUUACUGGGCGUAAAGGGCGCGUAGGCGGACAGCUUAGUCAGAGGUGAAAGCCCAGGGCUCAACCUUGGAAUUGCCUUUGAUACUGGCUGUCUUGAGUACGGGAGAGGUGAGUGGAACUCCGAGUGUAGAGGUGAAAUUCGUAGAUAUUCGGAAGAACACCAGUGGCGAAGGCGACUCACUGGCCCGUUACUGACGCUGAGGCGCGAAAGCGUGGGGAGCAAACAGGAUUAGAAACCCGAGUAGUCC
rnacentral:rRNA from 1 species